rnacentral:sRNA from 1 species
UAUCGUUGAUCUUCAGAUCCUCCGGAUA